rnacentral:rRNA from 1 species
GUGCACCAGGCGCGAAACCUCCGCAAUACACGAAAGUGUGACGGGGCCAUCCCGAGUGCCGUCCGCUGAGGACGGCUUUUCCCCAGUGUACACAGCUGGGGGAAUAAGGAGAGGGCAAGCCUGGUGUCAGCCGCCGCGGUAAUACCAGCUCUCCGAGUGGUGGGGACGCUUAUUGGGCCUAAAGCAUCCGUAGCCGGCUGGGCAAGUCCUCCGUUAAAUCCAACGAUUCAAUCGUUGGGCUGCGGGGGAUACUGUCCAGCUUGGGGGCGGGAGAGGCCGACGGUAUUCCCGGGGUAGGGGUGAAAUCUUAUAAUCCCGGGAGGACCACCAGUGGCGAAGGCUGUCGGCUAGAACGCGCCCGACGGUGAGGGGAUGAAAGCUGGGGGAGCGAACCGGAUUAGAUA